UGAACGCUGGCGGCGUGCUUAACACAUGCAAGUCGAACGAGAAAGGGAUUGCUUGCAAUCCUGAGUAGAGUGGCGCACGGGUGAGUAACACGUAGAUAAUCUACCCACAAGUCUGGGAUAACUAUUCGAAAGGGUAGCUAAUACCGGAUAAAGUUUUAACCCCCAAGGGUUAUUAUGAAAGAUUGCCUCUGAUUCAAGCAAUUGUUUGUGGAUGAGUUUGCGUACCAUUAGCUUGUUGGUGGGGUAAUAGCCUACCAAGGCUGCGAUGGUUAGCUGGUCUGAGAGGAUGAUCAGUCACACUGGAACUGGAACACGGUCCAGACUCCUACGGGAGGCAGCAGUGAGGAAUUUUGCGCAAUGGGGGGAACCCUGACGCAGCAACGCCGCGUGAGUGAAGAAGGCCUUUGGGUCGUAAAGCUCUGUCAACAAGGAAGAAGUUAUAUUGUAUUAACAGUGCAAUGUAUUGACGGUACUUGUGGAGGAAGCGCCGGCUAACUCC
rnacentral:rRNA from 1 species